GACGAACGCUGGCGGCGUGCUUAACACAUGCAAGUCGAACGAUGAAACCUAGCUUGCUAGGUCGAUUAGUGGCGAACGGGUGAGUAACACGUGACUAACCUGCCCCUUUCUCUGGGAUAACGCUCCGAAAGGAGUGCUAAUACCGGAUACUCACAUCAAGGCACAUGCCUUGAUGUGGAAAGUUUUUCGGAAAGGGAUGGAGUCGCGGCCUAUCAGCUUGUUGGUGCGGUAACGGCUCACCAAGGCGACGACGGGUAGCCGGCCUGAGAGGGCGACCGGCCACACUGGGACUGAGACACGGCCCAAACUCCUACGGGAGGCAGCAGUGGGGAAUAUUGCACAAUGGGCGCAAGCCUGAUGCAGCGACGCCGCGUGAGGGAUGAAGGUCUUCGGAUUGUAAACCUCUUUCAGUAGGGACGAAGCGAAAGUGACGGUACCUAAAGAAGAAGCACCGGCUAACUACGUGCCAGCCGCCGCAGUAA
rnacentral:rRNA from 1 species